UAGGUUUCAUUAGUUAGAUUUUGAUGAAUAUUAUGAGUUUACAACACUUGAAACAUUUUCUCCCUAAGGAGAGAAGACCACCAACCCGUAAUUGUAACUAGGAAAGUCAACUUGAGUGUGGAAUUGUUCGCGUUGGAUUCAAGCUUGAAAACGUUGGAUGCUUGGGAGACCGGGGUCACUCUUGUGCCAAUGUAAGAGUUAGGUAAUUGAUGUGUGUGAUGUUAAAGGUCCAAGAGUGGAAUAGGCUUUUGGGUUGUUAAUAUUGUACCUUUAAUAUGUCUAACUAUCUAU
rnacentral:lncRNA from 1 species